UCUGCACAUCUGUUUCAAAUUGCCCAGCUUGCUGGAGGGGAUCUUGGCAAUCCCAGGAUCCCACAAGUUGCUGAGGGCCGGGGGAAGCCCUCAGAAUUCCCUCUCUACCAUCUGAGCCACAUUGGGCGAUUUAGCCUCUUUGAGCCUCGGUUUGCUCAAAUGCAAAAUCAUGAUGGAGUCUAUAUGAAAGGAUCACCAUGAGGACUAAAGAAGAGAAAUAGCCCCAGAUCCCAUCGUUCCCAAGAAGGCGCAGCUGGAAAUGCUGCAUGGCUGGAGUGAGGUCGGAGGAGUUCAGUUAGAUUAGUAAGUGGAACAAGCACAUUUUUUGAGAGAUAGCAAAGAUCACUGUUAAAGCAGAUGACCCAAGAGGAUUCCAAGGAAAAGGCUCAGAGACAGUAGCUGCAGUCAACACCAGGUCCUCAUCACCCUCUCAUUGGCUCCCACUGCAGGAAGACCCUCUGCGUUACUUUGCGAGCUCCAUCCGCAGCAGAACGACUCUCCCCUGGUGGAUGCAAAGGAUCGUGAGCACCAAGGAUGAAAACACGAGGCACCUAACGGAAAGCUGAAAUCAUUUCUUUUGCUUGUAACAGUGAAGUCUGUCUGACUUGGUGAACGUAGGCUCACGGUAAUACCUUGAUGACAUCCUGAAUACCAGGAGCGUAGCUGUCUGAAAGGCAGAGAG